UACGAAGGGGGCUAGCGUUGCUCGGAAUGACUGGGCGUAAAGGGCGCGUAGGCGGAUGGUACAGUCAGAUGUGAAAUUCCCGGGCUUAACCUGGGGGCUGCAUUUGAUACGUGCGAUCUGGAGUGAGGAAGAGGGUCGUGGAAUUCCCAGUGUAGAGGUGAAAUUCGUAGAUAUUGGGAAGAACACCGGUGGCGAAGGCGGCGACCUGGUCCUUUACUGACGCUGAGGCGCGAAAGCAUGGGGAGCGAACAGG
rnacentral:rRNA from 1 species